UCCUACGGGAGGCAGCAGUGGGGAAUACUGCACAAUGGGCGCAAGCCUGAUGCAGCCAUGCCGCGUGUAUGAAGAAGGCCUUCGGGUUGUAAAGUACUUUCAGCGAGGAGGAAGGCAUUGUGGUUAAUAACCACAGUGAUUGACGUUACUCGCAGAAGAAGCACCGGCUAACUCCGUGCCAGCAGCCGCGGUAAU
rnacentral:rRNA from 1 species